CUCGCAUCGAUGAAGAACGUAGCAAAAUGCGAUACUUGGUGUGAAUUGCAGAAUCCCGUGAACCAUCGAGUUUUUGAACGCAAGUUGCGCCCGAAGUCAUUAGGCCGAGGGCACGUCUGCCUGGGUGUCUCUCAUAAUGCGUCGCUACACACCAAAUCUCAUUAGGG
rnacentral:rRNA from 1 species